AUGGCUGAACCCAACUCGUACGAGGAGCAGCGCAGGAGGCAGGUGGAGGAGACAAGCGGAAGCUGGAGGAGCUGCGCCUGCACCGCCUCUCCGUCGCCGUCCGCGAGGCCGCCGUCAAGCCGAAGCCGGUCAGUUCAAGCCCAUGCCUCCUUCCUGGCAAAAGACCAAGCUGCCGAGGCGGUGUCGCGACGCCCCGACUCGGCGGUCCGGCAGGGUCGCCGGUCUGCCCGAGCAACCCGAUUACCGCGACAGGAAAAUCAGGUACACCCAUGCCUCACCCAAACUGUUCUUUCCAUCGAUUUUUUAUGCAUAGGAAUAGGAAGCACUACUUACUACUCCAUUACUUGGUUGUCUUUCAGGGGAGGGGCAUAUGUCCAAAGAAGGCAAUUGCCACCCGAUGAUGUGUACGCCACCGACGAAGCGAGCGCCUACGCCCUCACCAAGGCUGAAGAGCUCAAGAGCCAGCUGUGCUCCGACCACCCUUCCUUCGUGAAGCCCAUUUGCUAUAAAACUGCCACAGCUAGCUGCCUGCGCAUACCUCAGCUAUUCAAAGGGUGGUAUCUCCCGUGGUGUAAUGAGAUGAUUUAUCUGGUGGAUGAACAAGAUGUUGAGUUUCAUUUGCCUUACCAUGCGCUAAGUGGUUCCAUCGGCACUGGGUGGAAAAUGUUUGCCAUCGGCCACAACCUAGCUGACGGUGAUUGCUUGGUGUUCCAGCAAGUUCAGAAAACAAAGUUCAAGGUGAGACUCUUGAAG
rnacentral:rRNA from 1 species